rnacentral:lncRNA from 1 species
CUGGGUCAGCUCCCAGCUUUGUUUCCUUUUCAUAGCCUGAAAAUGCAGUGACUACCAACCAGCUUGUGACAAAGCUGAACCUGCCAGAAGAGGCUUCAGCAUUUGAAAAAUAUUGCUUCCUAUGAAGAAAGUAGAAAUGAGGGCUCUUAAAUCAGCAGAAAUCCAGUCCCUGAUAGUGCAAGCUGUGCCUUUAUCAGCUUCUCCAGAUACUCCCUUUAUAUGAUUCAAGGAAGAACCUGUGCCAUUUGUAUUCCUGCCAUUGAUGUUAUGCUUCUUUUUGCAGAGAAAGGUAAGAGUGUCAUCCAAAACAAAGUAGAAGCUUGAACUCACCUCUGCAAAGUUCUUUCAAAUUAGAAACUUCCUUCAGAGAAAAUGAACUGAUGAAUACAGAGUGGAAAUCUUAUUCAGAUCAUCAGGAACCGUGUGGAAAAGAACUGUUCUGUGCCAGGUGUGAGAAUUGCAAAAUCUCUAAAGCUGGAAAUAAAAUGGAAAAGAUUUGCAGUGCCCGUUGGAGAGGUGAAGACUUAUAGCACUUUGCACCAAAGACUGCUAUUUUAAGGGUUGUCAAAAGCACUGUGGAAGUGACAAAGGUAAGGCUGA